GAUGAACGCUGGCGGCGUGCCUAAUACAUGCAAGUCGAGCGAACGGACGAGAUGCUUGCUCCUCUGAUAUUAGCGGCGGACGGGUGAGUAACACGUGGGUAACCUACCUAUAAGACUGGGAUAACUUCGGGAAACCGGAGCUAAUACCGCAUAAUAUCUUUAACCACAUGGUUCAAAAUUGAAAGACGGUCUUGCUGUCACUUAUAAUUAUAUCCGCGCUGCAUUAGCUAGUUGGUAAGUUAACGGCUUACAAAGGCAACGAUGCAUAGCCGACCUGAGAGGGUGAUCGGCCACACUGGAACUGAGACACGGUCCAGACUCCUACGGGAGGCAGCAGUAGGGAAUCUUCCGCAAUGGGCGAAAGCCUGACGGAGCAACGCCGCGUGAGUGAUGAAGGUCUUCGGAUCGUAAAACUCUGUUAUUAGGGAAGAACAUAUGUGUAAGUAACUGUGCACAUCUUGACGGUACCUAAUCAGAAAGCCACGGCUAACUACGUG
rnacentral:rRNA from 1 species